GGAUGCUGACAAGGAUGGAGUACAUGCGCGGUCCUGUGGGCCGCCCGGGACCCCUAUGCUGGAAUGUACAGCAACACAAAGGCCUUGUGAGGGGCACUCAGGAGGGGCAGCAGCUUAGCUUGCCUUUGGUGGGCCUAGUUUGUUCUGAUCCCAGGAAAGACUUCCUGUUUCCAUGGUUACACCACCUCAGGUUUGGUUUGGUAGGUCCAGAGUGCAGGGUGCUUUGAUUUCAGAAUUAACUGUUUCUGUGCAGAGGGAGGCGUUGAGGUCAGAGAGCAGGGGCCAUGCAGUUGCCCAAGGUUCCCUGUUUUCUCUAGAUGAAGAAAGCUCAGGCGACGUUUGCUACAAGACGAGAGUUUGAUUCAUAUCAGUGGGUUUUGAUUGGGAGCGGCUGGAAGGGAUUUCUGGAGAGACUUCUGGUGGUGGCAGCCUGGUGGUGGUAGCCCUGAGUGGGUAGCAGGCCCCUUUUGCAGCCCUGCAGCCCAGUAGCCCAGCACGGAGGAGAGCUAUCUAGCAGUGAGCUGCUGCAUCUUAAUGUUGGAGCUUUCCAAUGCUUUUCAGCUCACUUUCUGCUUCACAGAGCCCGGUGGCUUCAUAAAUCUGCACAUGGGACAGUUUGCCCCCAGACUCUCCCAGACAUGUGAUUAAGCUCUUGGGGUGCUCCUUGAAGAUAGACUCUGAAUGCAACUACUAUUGUGCAUGCGAAAGACUUUUUCUUUUUCAUGCCAUAAUUUGAUCAAAGCAGUCUAACCUGCAGCUCUGUUUUUGGAGCUCACGGAUGGUCUGUGGAUAACAUUACGUUUUUUCAGCAUGAAACCCAACACUUCAAAUCCCUAAAGCAGUCUCAAAUUUAUGGUUAAUAAAAGCAUUUAUUGUACUGGAUGUCAUCUGUUAUAUCACUCUGGGGCUAGAAACUGGCAAGCACUGGACAGGAAAUAUUUUCAUUUCAAAUCGCUUCAAUCUUAUGGUCUAGGGGCAAAAGUGUCUGAUUUCAGGAAAGCCACAGUGAAUAGCAUGGUAAUGAAUGCAUUUUUAGCUGAUUAAGCAGGCGUUCUCCCCUUGCAAACAGUCUUCCCUCUUUGGCUUGGUGGGGCUAAAUAAACAUGGGAUAUUAAAUGAUAGUACUUUCCCCCCCUAUCGACUAAUGUCUUCACUUUGAUCAUCUUAAGAUUUUAGCAUUUUCCAGGAAUCCUGAGCGGGGCAGUAACAAACCCAGAGAGAAAAGCUGCUCUAUUAGGGCCUUCUUGUUACUGCAUCUACCUGACUUGAACCUUUUCUUUCUUCCUCUCCUCUUCUCUCCCCUCCUCACCUCAUUUCUUCUUCCCCUUUUCUCUCUUCCUUUCUUUUGAGGUAGUCACCCUAUGGAGGCCAGGCCUGGUCUACAAAGUAAGUUCCAGGACAGCCAGAGCUACACAGAGAAAAACCCUGUCUGGAAAAACCACCCCCCCCC
rnacentral:lncRNA from 1 species